rnacentral:rRNA from 1 species
AAUACAUAGCAUAUCAGAAGGCACACCCGGAGAACUGAAACAUCUUAGUACCCGGAGGAAGAGAAAGAAAAUUCGAUUCCCUUAGUAGCGGCGAGCGAAACGGGAAGAGCCCAAACCAACAAGCUUGCUUGUUGGGGUUGUAGGACACUCUAUACGGAGUUACAAAGGACGACAUUAGACGAAUCAUCUGGAAAGAUGAAUCAAAGAAGGUAAUAAUCCUGUAGUCGAAAAUGUUGUCUCUCUUGAGUGGAUCCUGAGUACGACGGAGCACGUGAAAUUCCGUCGGAAUCUGGGAGGACCAUCUCCUAAGGCUAAAUACUCUCUAGUGACCGAUAGUGAACCAGUACCGUGAGGGAAAGGUGAAAAGCACCCCGGAAGGGGAGUGAAAUAGAACCUGAAACCGUGUGCUUACAAGUAGUCAGAGCCCGUUAAUGGGUGAUGGCGUGCCUUUUGUAGAAUGAACCGGCGAGUUACGAUUUGAUGCAAGGUUAAGCAGUAAAUGUGGAGCCGUAGCGAAAGCGAGUCUGAAUAGGGCGUUUAGUAUUUGGUCGUAGACCCGAAACCAGGUGAUCUACCCUUGGUCAGGUUGAAGUUUAGGUAACACUGAAUGGAGGACCGAACCGACUUACGUUGAAAAGUGAGCGGAUGAACUGAGGGUAGCGGA